rnacentral:rRNA from 1 species
CCUACGGGUGGCAGCAGUGGGGAAUAUUGCACAAUGGGGGAAACCCUGAUGCAGCGACACCGCGUGAGUGAAGAAGUGUUUCGGCGUGUAAAGCUCUGUCAGCGGGGAAGAAAAUCGGUUCACGAGAGCAGCGGACCGUACCCGACCACGAAGCCCCAGCUAACUACGUGCCAGCAGCCGCGGGAAUACGUAGGGGGCCAGCGUUAUCCGGAUUCAUUGGGUGUAACGGGAGCGUAGACGGCGAGACAAGUCUGGAGUGAAAGGCCGGGGCCCAACCCCGGGACUGCUCUGGACACUGCGUGGCUGGAGGACAGGAGAGGUAAGUGGAAUUCCUAGUGUAGCGGUGAAAUGCGUAGAUAGUAGGAGGAACACCAGUGGCGAAGGCGGCUUACUGGACUGUAACUGACGUUGAGGCUCGAAAGCGUGGGGAGCAAACAGGAUUAGAUACCCUUGUAGUC